rnacentral:rRNA from 1 species
AUUGAACGCUGGCGGCAGGCCUAACACAUGCAAGUCGAGCGGAUGAAGGGAGCUUGCUCCUGGAUUCAGCGGCGGUCGGGUGAGUAAUGCCUAGGAAUCUGCCUGGUAGUGGGGGAUAACGUCCGGAAACGGGCGCUAAUACCGCAUACGUCCUGAGGGAGAAAGUGGGGGAUCUUCGGACCUCACGCUAUCAGAUGAGCCUAGGUCGGAUUAGCUAGUUGGUGGGGUAAAGGCCUACCAAGGCGACGAUCCGUAACUGGUCUGAGAGGAUGAUCAGUCACACUGGAACUGAGACACGGUCCAGACUCCUACGGGAGGCAGCAGUGGGGAAUAUUGGACAAUGGGCGAAAGCCUGAUCCAGCCAUGCCGCGUGUGUGAAGAAGGUCUUCGGAUUGUAAAGCACUUUAAGUUGGGAGGAAGGGCAGUAAGUUAAUACCUUGCUGUUUUGACGUUACCAACAGAAUAAGCACCGGCUAACUUCGUG